rnacentral:sRNA from 1 species
UAUACCAGGCGGGCUCAAUCACUGAGGAGAUAUUCCUCUGGAUGCUUCAAAAUGUGCUUCUUGUUGCAGAACAGCCAUUAGCUGUCAUACACCGAGCUUCAGGUCGGGUUGUCGCUCAUACUACACAUGUGCUUGAGCCUGGAGAUUAUGAUGUCUCCUCUGCAGGGCCCAUUAAAGUAACGGAUGAGGUUUCUUCUUUGCGAGUCCUGAGCUACUCCAUUUCAGGCAGAGAGAAUCACUUUCGGGAUGGAGUCCGUUCAAGGGAUGGAAAAUGUGUUAUUACUGGAGUAGUCAACCAAUUCGCGCCAUUUGGCAGAUGGAAUGCAUUCAAGGUUGCACAUGUGUUCCCUCUGCGUCAUGAAAGUAUAUG